AUUCAGUCGUGAGCGACGUACGCGGGUGCUGGAAAACCGAGCAGGGCUUCCCGGAACAGGGGCCGUCCAGCUCCGCGUCAGCCGUCGCCGCCGACGCAUUUGACUCUCGUCCGAAGGACGCCGCAGCCGGUUGGGUAGCAGAAAGCGUGACGGCCUGAAAGGCGGGAGAUGGCAGGUGGCCGGUGGCGGGGACUUGUCCCCUUCGCCGGUUGUUAGCCGUCCCGUCGGUGGCCCGUCACCCGACCGAGGUAUCACUAAGCCCCGUCAGGGGCUUCACCGCCUCCUCCGCAUGGAUGCGGGACAGAUCGUCGCAGGCGAGUUUCGCCGUCCCGUGGCACUCCACACGAGUGGAUGGGCGAACGGGAAGCGCCGUUGGCGACGACGGGCCCGUGUGGAGGUUGGUGGCUGGCGGCGAGUAUGUCGGUCACCCACCCGACCCGUCUUGAAACACGGACCAAGGAGUCUAACAUGUGCGCGAGUCAAUGGGUCUUGUUCAGGCCCAGAGGCGCAAUGAAAGCAAAGGCCGGACUAGCUCCGGCUGAGUUGGGAUCCCCGGCUUCGGCUGGGGCGCACCGACGACCCGUCCUAACCGGCUCGCCGGUUGGGCGGAGUUUGAGCGUACACGUUGGGACCCGAAAGAUGGUGAACUAUGCCCGGACAGGACGAGGCCAGAGGAAACUCUGGUGGAGGUCCGCAGCGGUUCUGACGUGCAAAU
rnacentral:rRNA from 1 species